GUAGAAGGAAGCAGAAGAGAGGUGCUCUGCUUCCGAGCAGUCCUAAAAGAUUUUUUCUUUAAGUGGAGCCCACCCCACACCUGACAACGAUACCUCACUGACAUUGGCGCUCAUUACCCCCAACUACAGAAACAUCCCCUGCAUAGCUUGCACUGAAGUAAUGAGCCGUGUUAGUGUUCCAGUGCUUGGACUGCCAUGUCAUCUGCCUGGACUGUUUCCACCUUUACUGCGUGACAAAGCUGAAUCAACGGCAGUAUGUUCAUGACCCUCAGAUUGGAUAUUCCUUGCCACGUGCAGCAGAUGCCCUUAUAGCAGCAGUGUCCCCCACCUGGGAUUGAACCCACGACCCUCCAGUCAAGAGUCCAAAGCCCCAACCACUACUCCACACUCUAUGCAUCAAUAACUGCUGCUACAGAGGCAUUAACAAUUGGACCUCGGUUUUACAUCUCAUCUGAAUGACGAGGACAUUACUUAUUGUGAGUUUGAAAGUCCUAUAAACUCUAGUAGGAAAGGUCAAUAGUUACUGUACAUUGUGAUUAUCUCUGACAAUGCCAGGAACAUAGCUUUUUUCUGUAACAUGUUUAAAUAUAUAACUGACCUUAUUUAUGGUCUUUGAGAUACAGGUUUCUGUGUCUUCUGAAUGUCUAUGGAACAGGGGCAGGUUGUGAGAUAUGUGAUGGAUCCAAUUAUGGGGAAAUCGCACAAUUCCAGAGUUUCAGAUAAUGUCAUUGUCAGAUGUUGACAAGCCUCAUCCAGUUUAAUGACAAACUUGAGAGCUGUCAGCUACAAUGACAGACUGUAUUAGUUCAUAUCAGUGACGAAUCGCAGUCAACACACCUUAAGCCCAUCUAAAAGUAAAUAUUUGUUUUUAUUAUACCAAUUUAUCACCAGGCUUUUUUUUUUUUGCUGAAGUCAUAGAGUGAAUAUAAUUUCAAUGAAAAAGUGGUGGUGGAAAUAAAGAGCCUGAUAACAAUGCACUGUUGAGCUAAACACUCAUUGACAACUGUCAUUGGCUGCAUCGGUCAUUGAUUCCUCAACCUUGUUUACAAAUCCUGAAGGAAUGUCCCUUAAAAUGAAGUUCACUAUCCCUAACAUGACUUUGAGUCAUGAAAUAAAAUGUCAAUAAAUAGAAUUACGCAAGAUCAUUGGAGGUGUUUAUUGAAACAAGGCCAAUGCAAUGGUAUUAGUGAUGGUGGGUGGUAAUGGAGCUCAGCUGGGAUCAAUUCAAUGAACCUUUUCCGCUGUAAUAAACAGCAGUGAUUAUAGAUGUACGUAUGGGAAUUGAAUCAAGAUGUCAUCAGUGACGUGUCUAAUACAAAUAGAUCUUGUUUCCUAUUCCUUCGGUUUAUUUAUGAUUUUUAUGUUCUCAAAAUGUUUUUUUACUGCUAAAAAGAUAAUUGAAUUGGGCACUUUGUCUCGGCUCACUAAUCACGUACGCCCAGCAAUCAAUCAGUCAGUAAUCAAUAUAUCAUCCUGGGGCUGUGAGUUGGUGGGGGGAUGCCAUAUUACACAUUGUGGACCUUUAUUGGUUUAAAUGCUUUUCAAUUAUAGUCAAAAUAUCAUUGCAAUAUUCUUAUUUUGAAGAGGUUAUCAGAUGGAGAUACUUAGGACAGUAUCAGGAUGAGGAGAUUUCUUUUUUACGAUAGUCUUUCUCGGUUAGUUAAAGACCUCAUUUCAAAAGCACCCAGCCCGUGAAAUCCAAUUUUUAUUAUUAUCUUUAACUAUCAUUCUGAACUAUCUAAUGGUCCCUGAACAUUUGCAUCCUGUUCAGAUCAAGCAAUGAAAGAAGAAUGACUUGUUGGAAUGAAACUUUCUAAGGGUCAAACGUGAGAGAUUAUAAGCAGUUCUUUAUGAGUUAAGCUGGAUAAGACACCAGAGAAACGUCUCACCAUGUCUUUGAGAAAGCCGCCCCUGGGACAUAGUUUAAUUGCACACAGUGUACUACUCAAACAAUAUACUGCACAUACAGCUUUAAUGACUAUGGGAAUGUUUUAUAUGAGAGAGAGUGCCAUGGAAUAUUAGUAGAUGCUUGUGCAUAGCGGUUGAGCUGUUCCUGUUGGGGUUUUUUGUUUGUUGUUGGUGGUUUACUGCUGGUCUUAUGUUUUAGAGCAUCUGUUGCCAUGGUGUUUUUAGAAGCCUACACUUGUAAUAAAUUCUGACUAUGCACACAACAAUAAAGCAGAUGUACAAAUUGAAGCUUGAAGUACUACCAUUAUGUUUUCCAGAUGUGUGACCCCAUGACUUGAAAAGGCAAAAGUGCUUUUUGUGGAAAGGGCUAUUUUGGGAUGAAA